rnacentral:rRNA from 1 species
AGCGAACGCUGGCGGCAGGCUUAACACAUGCAAGUCGAACGCCCGUAGCAAUACGGGAGUGGCAGACGGGUGAGUAACGCGUGGGAGCAUGCCCUUUGGUUCGGAAUAACUCAGGGAAACUUGAGCUAACACCGGAUAAGCCCGAGAGGGGAACGAUUUAUCGCCGAAGGAUUGGCCCGCGUCCGAUGAGCUAGUUGGUGAGGUAAUGGCUCACCAAGGCGACGAUCGGUAGCUGGUCUGAGAGGAUGAUCAGCCACACUGGGACUGAGACACGGCCCAGACUCCUACGGGAGGCAGCAGUGGGGAAUAUUGGACAAUGGGGGCAACCCUGAUCCAGCCAUGCCGCGUGAGUGAUGAAGGCCCUAGGGUUGUAAAGCUCUUUCGGCGGGGACGAUAAUGACGGUACCCGCAGAAGAAGCCCCGGCUAACUUCGUGCCAGCAGCCGCCGUAAGAC